UCCCACAGGGGGUAAAUUGCCGCGGUACCCUGACCGUGCAAAAGGUAGCGAAAUAAUUUGCCUAUUAAUUGUUGGCCAGAUAUGAAUGGUGUGACGCUGGUGGCGCUGUCUCGUUGGCACUUAUUUGAAUUUGACCUCUGGGUGAAAAGGCCCAGAUAAAUCUGAAAGACGAUAAGACCCUAUCGAACUUUAAGUGGACCUGUUUCGGCGUCAGACCCGAAAACGAGCAAGCUUUUGGUUGGGAAAACCGGAGGUAAGAAAAACCACCUCCUCCCUUUGAGACACCCGUUAAUUAUGGGGUAAUAGAGACUUUACCCUAAGGGCAAUUGGCCUGAAGGACAGUAACCGAAUAGAGAACAAAAGGUCCGACAGGACAUAGUUAACUUAUCAAAUGAACCUAAAGACUUGCUGCUUAGCAGCAAGAAUCUAUUAACUAGGAAUAGUUACCGUUAGGGAAACAGCGUAAUCUUCCCGGCGAGACCACAUUAAU
rnacentral:rRNA from 1 species